AAGGGAAAAGAGUUCUUCAGAUCGUUCCCCUGCCCAACUUCCUCAGAGCCCGGGUGGGUGAGAUACAGAGACUUCCAUCACCCCCUCCCGGACCCCUGCCUCCCCCACCCUCGGCAAGCUCCGGGCCUAGGCAGCCACCCGAGACCUCACUUACCCUCGGCGCCUGGCGAGUGCUUUAGCCUCGGGCCGCCUCCGCCUCUCCCGCUCCCAACGGCCCACGGGCGGGCGCCGGAGCCCCGCGCGGGAGAACGGGGCCGGCUGGUGAGCGAAGAGAGGCAAAGGGCUCCGCCACCGUCAGAACCCGCGACUCCGCUCUCGGUAAAUAGGAAACCCGGUGGAGGGGGGGGAGGAGCGGCGGCACCGCAACUUCCCUCCCCGCCUCGAGCGCCGCCGGCCGGGCCCGGGCCUAGGCCUCCCUGGCUACCGCCGCCGCCGCCGCCGGAGCUGGUACCAGAGCCCGCUACGUGCCCCCGAUGGGCCGCCGCCGCCUCCUGCGCCGCCGCUUCCGUCGGUGAAUGGUCAGCGCUAGAGUUUGAACAGGGCCCUGAACCAUCUCAACGCCAUUUGCGCUCCCGGCCCCCACCUCCUUCCUCCAACAGCGGCUCGCUCCGUCACUCCGCUUCCCACAGGCCCCGCGCGGCCGCCCGACCCCACAGCCAAUCGCGCGGCUGCUUACUCAAACCGCCGCGCAGGCGCCGCGCCCCGCAUGCUCCGGCGCCCGCCAUUGGGCCGACCGCGGCGCCCGACGGGAGUUGUAGUCCGGGUCCGCGAGGUCGCGGCGCUGAGAGCUCGGCGCGGGAGCUGGCAGCGGGAGGAGAGGUUGCGGCGGACCCGGACGGCCCGGGCUCCGGAGCAAGUUCCAGCUGCUGGCCCUGCCGGGAGACGCAGGUGCCACGGGGGAGGGCCGGGGGCGCAGUGCAGGCAGCUGUGUCAAUCGUUUCCCCUCCAGGGACUCGCCGGUGUCUGGAGACGACUGUCAGCGGUAUGAUGUCAGAGACCUUGUCUACCCGCUCAUCCUCAGCAUCCAAGCACGGUACUGCACUGUCCAGCUGUGUGUGUCCACCAAGCACUGGAAAUGUGGCUAGUCCAACCUGAGAUGUUCUGGAAAUACAAAGCACUGGGUUUCCAAGGCUUAGUACAAAAAUUGUAUAUAUAAAGUAUCUCGAUUGUUAUACUGAUAAAAUGUUGAAAUAAUAAUAUUUUGAAUAUAUUGUGUUAAGUAGAAUAUGUUAUUAAAGUUAAUUUCUUCUCCUUUUUACCUUUUUUAAUGUAGCUACUAGAAAAAGUAAAUUUGUGACCUUGCAUUAUAUCUCUAUUAGAUAGACAGAAUCUAUAGAAGUUGCUAUAGAAGUUCAGUAAAUAUUUAUUGAAGGAAAAUGUAAAAAAAUAGACUUACGGGGCUUCCCUAGUGGCACAGUGGUUGAGAGUCCGCCUGCCGAUGCAGGGGACACGGGUUCGUGCGCCGGUCCGGGAAGAUCCCACGUGCCGCGGAGCAGCUGGGCCCGUGAGCCACGGCUGCUGAGCCUGCGCGUCUGGAGCCUGUGCUCCGCAAUGCGAGAGGCCACAACAGUGACAGGCCCGCGUACCGCAAAAAAUAUAGACUUACCAGGGAAUGCCCUGGUGGUCCAGUGGUUAGGACUCGGCUCUUUCGCUGCCAAGGGCCUGGGUUCAAUCCCUGGUCAGGGAACUUAUAUACCACAAGCUGUGCAGUGUGGGCCCCCCCCAAAAAAGAAAUAGACUUACCAAAAGAAAUGAGCUCUCAAGCCACAAAAAGACAUGGAAGAACCUUAAAUGCAUAUUACUAAGAGACAGAAGCCAGUCUGAAAAGUCCACAUACCGUAUGAUUCCAACUAUAUGAUGUUUUGGAAAAGCAAGAUGAGUUGAGAUAGAGUGACUGCCAAGAGAUUUACAGGAAGGGAGGAGGAGUAAUGAAUAGGUGAAGCACAGGGGAUUUUUUUAGGGUGGUGAAACGAUUCUGUAUGACACUGUAACGGUGUGUGCAUGAUAGUGUGCACUUGUCAAAACCCAUGGAGCUGUAAAACAGAGCGAACACUAAUGUAAACUAGGGACUUUAGUUAACAAUGUAUCAAUAUUGGUUCAUUAAUUGUAACAAAUAUACCACACUAAUGCAAGACAGUAAACUGGGGGGGUGGGGAGGGAGGUAUAUGGGAAUUCUCUGUAUUCUGUGCUCAGUUUUUCUGUGCACCUAAAACUGUUCUAAAGAAAGUCUAUUUAAAAAGAUGAAUUCACACACAGCCACCAGAACGAUAAUUCUAAAAUAUGAAUGUAACAAACCACCUACCUCUUUUAAAAAAAACUUUGGUGGCUCCCCACUGUCUACCAGAAAUGAGUUCACAUCCAUUGGCAUUUGCAGUGGCGUUGACCACCCCUCCCAUCCCGCUUCCUCUCCUCUCUACCUGUAUCAGACUACUCAAGAGCCUCAAGCCUUCAUUGCAAGACUCAUUCAGUCCCCUCUGCCUGUAAAGUCUUUCUCCCUCUCCACUUGUGGAACCUUACCAUGAAUCAUAUACCCUCUCACAUAAAUCAAUUAUCCUCUAUUCCGUGUUUCCAUAGUUCUCAAAAGUAGAUACAGAAAACCAGGCAUGUGGAGUUUUGGUCAUAUUAGAGUUUUGUGCCUCUUUCUAGUAAGUCUGGAAAAUGGCUAUGAUGAGUAUAUGUAUUGGAAGUGUUGAAAAAGAAUUCUGAUAGCCGCAGGCAGGCUAGAGAUUAAUAUCCUUGAGAUGGAAACAGUGGAAGAACAAGGCUAUUGAAUGUCAGUGAAGAUCUGCUUGGGCUCUCCUCCUAGGCAGGAGGCAGUGGGAUAUGCUGCUGGGAGCAAGAUCCAUCCCAACAGUGAGGUGGUGUUAGCUGACUGCCUAGCUACAGUGACAGGAGGCAGGCCUCUGGGUUGUCACCUGCUCUGAAAGCCAAUCUCCCUCUGACUGCUGCUCACCCAAGCCAGGAUGCCAGGGUGAUUCAGUUUCAAGUAUUUCACUUGCAGGGCAAACGAUAGUGUGGUAGUGACAUUACCGUCUCUACUGUCAUGUAGCAGAGCCUCAGGAGAGCAUGUGAGAAAACAGGUGAGCAGGCUUCCAGGUGCUGAGUUUACGAUGCAGAUUUCCCUACAUCUCCUUUUCAGGGAUUUUGGUUCUAUUAUCCAGUCACUCUGCUGAUGGGAAACUUAAGGAACACUGUCAAAGAUAAAUGAUUUGCCAAAGAUCACCCAGCUACUUAGGUGUCUGUCUUUCUCCAAAGGUCACAGGCAUGAAGCAUGUACUAUCCUGGGCCCUUAAUAUCAGGCCAUGUAGAGGAACCCUAUAGUUUUGCUGUCCUUUUAAGCCAGAGGUUCAGGCCUGCCUGGAAAAGUAAGAAUCUGGUUGAGACUUUGGGGGUAUUUAGAGGAAGAGGCCAGGUUGGAGUCAGGAAUGGACUAGUCCUUGCAAGAUAAAACAAAUCUAGGAGACCCUAGGAGAUAUGUAAUCUGUGAACACCAAGGGUAGAGGGGCAGACAGGUGUCUACAAGACCAGGCUUAUUCAACAGUUUGGGGCCACAGUGCCUAGUCUUACCCAGGUGAUAUACAAUCUCUUCCCACCUUGUCCAUUGGGUCCUCUGACAGCACCCAGAUGCUAUUACUGGGAUAGAGAGCGGGCUCCUCUACUCUAAGCUGUUCCUCCUCCCUUCCCUGUGUCCCUCAGCUGGCCCAGGGGAUCCACAACUUGGGACAGAGGAAACACAGGAAUUGGGAUUUCAAAGAAAUGCUUAUGAAUAACCUGGGCAGGGAUUUCUUCCAGUGACAAACUCCAGCUCUUGGGUGAGAGCCCUCCUAAUCUGUACAUACCCCAGCCUGGCCCAUAGUUUGGGCAGCUC
rnacentral:lncRNA from 1 species